rnacentral:lncRNA from 10 species
AAAGGCCCCCACCCUCAGAGCUCCUCAGGUGCCCCAUCUGGACUCCAUGGUAUGGGACAAAGGAGGAGAACACACCUGGAAGAGGUAGCCCAGGUGUUGUGCACCUGGUGGGGGGCAUGCACCCCUGCCCUGCACAUCGGGGUCACCCUUUCCAGCUGCUGCAGCCCCCAGUUGAGGUUCUGUUGCUCUUCCCCCAACUCCAAUUCUCCAGAACGCUUCUCUGCUCCCACCUCUAGCCCUAGACUGAUGAUAAAGAGGGGGUUCCUAGGAGAGGGUCUGAGGAGACAGAAGGGCGGGGUCUAAGAGUGGGGGUGCAGUGAAGACCCCAGGAUGAAGCUCUCCAUGAGUCUCUAUCAUGGAGCCCUGCACAGUUCCUGUUGAGGGAGCCUGGAGCAGAGUCUGGGGAUAGACCCCGGGUGUGUGCAGGCCCUUCUUCUUCCCUCGCUUUAGCAUUGCACAGUCGGAGCCCUUUGCUAGGUUCCUCAGCUUCCAGGUACAGCUCUGCUCUUCUAUGCCUUAGCCCCAAACCCAAGUCCUCCAGCCUCCUAGGAUUUCCCUCUCUCCCUUCCUCCCUCCUUCCUUCCUUUCCAGGGUUAGGGGGAAGAUGAUGAAGUAGGUUUUGUCCAUGCUGAGUGUUUGAAGCCUGUGAGACAUCCAAUUAGAAAUACGGAGGAAACCCUUGGGCACUUGGGUCAGGAGUUCAGAGGAGAGACAAAUGUGGGUCCCAGGAUGAUGGUAACUGAAGCUGGGGUUGUGGAUGGUGUUGUCUCAGAG